rnacentral:snRNA from 1 species
GAGCUCCAAGUGGGCCAUUUUU